CACACACACACACGCCCCGAGAAUACCCCAAGGCUCACCUGGGUGUCGAACCCGUUUUCCACAGAGCCGCUCAUCUGCAGAGGGAGUCCCUCCCCGGCCGACUCCUGCAGCCCCUGCGACUUCAGCGGGAUCUGGCUGGGUGAAUCUCCAGAGUAUUCCUUUACUGUGGCAGAACUGCUCCAUUCUACAGUUGAAGAAAUAGGUGGAAAGGUUAGGAGGAGGCAAGGAAUGAGUGUCAGGUCUGUCCUGGGGGAUUGCUUGCACACUGCUCAGGCUUGCCCCCUGGCAUUCACUAGGAGGCAAAGAUCAAUGGGCCAUCAAGAAGCUUAAGAAUUAGGAGGGUGGGGCUGGGGAGACAGCCUAAAGGUUAGGCCUGAGGCUCUAAGGUCCCAGGUUCCACCCCCAGCAUCACAGAAAGCCAAAGCUGAGUAGUGAGUGCUCUGUUCUCUCCCCCACCCCCACACUGUAACUUUCUUUCUGAUUUUCUCUCAUUAAAAUAAAUAAAAUAUUAUUUUUUAAAAAAGAAUUAGGAGGGUGCUCUUUAAAGAAGCAAACUUCUAAGCCCCUCCUUACCUCCAACAAACCUAGAAUUAAAAUCCCAAAGUCUGCAUUUUAAGCAAGGACUCUGAAGAGCUGGCCAGUACACUUAGCUCUGCAGUCUCACUAGGGUUCACUAGGGUUACUCAAGGACCUGAAAACUAAGCCCCACGCUGGACCAAUUAAGUCAGACUCUGGGCUUGGGGUCCAGGCACUCCAGUGUUAGCAGAGUUCUCAGAGCGCAGGCAAAUGGAAAAGCACUGCUUUAAGAAAUACAGCAUCCCAAAACCUACAUAUACACCAGUUUCUGUGAGAGAGAGCAUAUGUUCACACGUAUCCGUAAACUACUGCAAAAUAUAUACCUGAAAGCAGAAGUACACUAGAGUUUGCAGUGAGUACCCCCCUAACACUUUCUCUCCACUAUUCCAAGCUUUGGGUCCAUGAUUGCUCAACAAUUUGUUUGGCUUCGUAUGUUAACUCUCUUUUCAGUCACCAGGUUCCAGAUGUCAUCAGGAUGCUGGCCAGGCUUCCCUGGACUGAAGACCCCACCAAUGUGUCCUGGAGCUCCACUUCCCCAGAGACACACCCUACUAGGGAAAGAGAGAGGCAGACUGGGAGUAUGGACUGACCAGUCAACGCCCAUGUUCAGUGGAGAAGCAGUUACAGAAGCCAGACCUUCUACCUUCUGCAGCCCUCAAUGACCCUGGGUCCAUGCUCCCAGAGGGAUAGAGAAUGGGAAAGCUAUCAGGGGAGGGGGUGGGAUAUGGAGAUUGGGUGGUGGAAAUUGUGUGGAAUUGUACCCCUCCUACCCUAUGGUUUUGUUAAUUAAUCCUUUCUUAAAUAAAAAAUAAAAAAAAAGAAA